UAAUGGUGGCUUAGCAGAGGCUCAGG
rnacentral:piRNA from 1 species